GACGAACGCUGGCGGCGUGCUUAACACAUGCAAGUCGAACGGAAAGGCCCUGCUUUUGUGGGGUGCUCGAGUGGCGAACGGGUGAGUAACACGUGAGUAACCUGCCCUUGACUUUGGGAUAACUUCAGGAAACUGGGGCUAAUACCGGAUAGGAGCUCCUGCUGCAUGGUGGGGGUUGGAAAGUUUCGGCGGUUGGGGAAGGACUCGCGGCUUAUCAGCUUGUUGGUGGGGUAGUGGCUUACCAAGGCUUUGACGGGUAGCCGGCCUGAGAGGGUGACCGGCGACAUUGGGACUGAGAUACGGCCCAGACUCCUACGGGAGGCAGCAGUGGGGAAUAUUGCACAAUGGGCGGAAGCCUGAUGCAGCAACGCCGCGUGCGGGAUGACGGCCUUCGGGUUGUAAACCGCUUUCGCCUGUGACGAAGCGUGAGUGACGGUAAUGGGUAAAGAAGCACCGGCUAACUACGUG
rnacentral:rRNA from 1 species